GCAAGUCGAACGAGAAAGGGAUUGCUUGCAAUCCUGAGUAGAGUGGCGCACGGGUGAGUAACACGUAGAUAAUCUACCUUCAAGCCCGGGAUAACUAUUCGAAAGGAUGGCUAAUACCGGAUGAAGUUAACUGGCACAAGUUGGUUGAUGAAAGAUUGCCUCUUCUUGAAAGCAAUUGUUUGGAGAUGAGUUUGCGGACCAUUAGUUUGUUGGUGGGGUAAAGGCCUACCAAGACUGCGAUGGUUAGCUGGUCUGAGAGGAUGAUC
rnacentral:rRNA from 1 species